UACGAAGGGGACUAGCGUUGUCCGGAAUUAUUGGGCGUAAAGAGCUUGUAGGCGGUCUGUCGCGUCUGCUGUGAAAAUCCGGGGCUCAACCCCGGACUUGCAGUGGGUACGGGCAGACUAGAGUGUGGUAGGGGAGACUGGAAUUCCUGGUGUAGCGGUGAAAUGCGCAGAUAUCAGGAGGAACACCGGUGGCGAAGGCGGGUCUCUGGGCCGAUACUGACGCUGAGGAGCGAAAGCGUGGGGAGCGAACAGG
rnacentral:rRNA from 1 species